rnacentral:rRNA from 1 species
GACGAACGCUGGCGGCGUGCUUAACACAUGCCAGUCGAACGGUGAAGCUCCAGCUUGCUGGAGUGGAUCAGUGGCGAACGGGUGAGUAACACGUGAGCAACCUGCCCCUGACUCUGGAAUAAGCGCUGGAAACGGCGUCUAAUACUGGAUACGAGAAGGGUCCGCAUGGGCACUUUCUGGAAAGUUUUUCGGUUGGGGAUGGGCUCGCGGCCUAUCAGCUUGUUGGUCGGGUAGUGGCUCACCAAGGCGACCACGGGUAGCCGGCCUGAGAGGGCGACCGGCCACACUGGGACUGAGACACGGCCCAGACUCCUACGGGAGGCAGCAGUGGGGAAUAUUGCACAAUGGGCGAAAGCCUGAUGCAGCGACGCCGCGUGAGGGAUGACGGCCUUCGGGUUGUAAACCUCUUUCAGCAGGGAAGAAGCGAAAGUGACGGUACCUGCAGAAGAAGCACCGGCUAACUACGUG